UUCACUUCAGCGGCGAAACUGGCUGGCGCGACAAUGUCUACGCCGGGACAAUUCUUUCUUACUGUAUUGUAAACUGUUCGAAUUUGAAAUUAACUGACUGGAAACGUAGAAGGUGAAGAAUCAAGAUUACCUUCAACUGUCUAGCCACCUCCUUGGCAUGUAAAAUGCAAGCCAGUUUUGAUUGAGCAUAAGCACGCGUGCCAUUGUACCUGCAGACAUUCCAAAUCCAAAACCCCAAACAGGGUUUAGUUCGAUUCUCUGACCAUGGAUUGCUAUUGACCUGUAGCCAGCUAGUGAACACCUUGGUGAGUGAAGCAGAGAUCGUCCUUCUUCACCCAGCAGUGGACAACAGAAGAGACGUUUAUAAUUCUUCCUUGGAUGCCUGUUCUCCUUGAUGUUUCUAUCAAUUUGUCUAAAAGCAGUUCUGUCAGAAGGAUGUACGGAUUAAGGUUUGGAGGUGGAUACAAGAAGCGAUUUGGUUAAAUCCAUUUAGUUUCGAACGCCCUCCUGACAAAUUUAGGGAAAUGAAGCCUCGAGCUGAAGACAACCAAGCCGACCAUAAUUCAAUUGAUCAAAAGGUAAUCUUGGACUUGACUUGUUGAGAAGAAAGGUGGAAUGUAGCGUGUAGAGCCCAUAUAAAGCACAGUCAAACUCUAGCAGUAUAAUAUCCGCGCAUCUUGGGGAUUAUAAGUUUAAGGUGAUUGUACACUAUUCAUUGGCAUCUCUAUUAGAAUAGAAUAUUAUUUUGGGACAAGGAGGACCCAUUGUGUUUUGAAAUUUGAUUCGCUUGGUUGAAACAAUGUUUGUGUUGAUUAAUUUGACGUGUGAAGUUGGGCUUGUAACAGUGACAUGGAUAUGUCAUUUCAAAACAUAUAUUCAUGACAUGUCCAAAAAAGUGUGGAACAACAAGGAUUGAUUGGAAAGCUGGUAUGGCCUACUUUUUGC